rnacentral:misc_RNA from 1 species
GGCACCAUUCUGGAUAAU